UACGUAGGGGGCUAGCGUUGUCCGGAAUCAUUGGGCGUAAAGAGCGUGUAGGCGGUCCGGUAAGUCCGCUGUGAAAGUCGGGGGCUCAACCCUCGAAUGCCGGUGGAUACUGUCGGGCUAGAGUGCGGAAGAGGCGAGUGGAAUUCCUGGUGUAGCGGUGAAAUGCGCAGAUAUCAGGAGGAACACCUAUUGCGAAGGCAGCUCGCUGGGACGUAACUGACGCUGAGGCACGAAAGCGUGGGGAGCAAACAGG
rnacentral:rRNA from 1 species